UGGUUUGUUUUGUCUUAAUUAUGUAGGUGUUGCAUGCUUGGAAGAGAAAAUUAAGAAAACUAAUUGGAAAACCAUAAAGAUAGCUUUCUCGUGAUAGCCACAAGGCUUGCUGCCUCACUCUGCUCAUAUGUCACCCCUCAAGGAGGCCUUCCCCAGCUCUGUAAACAACCUCUGCUUGGCCUUACUUUUCUCCCUAAUGUUUAUCAGUACCUGACAUAUACUUGUUUCCCACGACUCAACGAUAAGUCUUCAUGAGGGCAGACACUUUUUAAUCCCCUACCACAAGCACCUAGAAUUGUGCCUGGCACAUGGUAGAUGCUUAGUAAAUAUUUGUUUAAUGAAUGAAGGUAAAAAACAUUUCUAAUACGACCAUCCAGGAAUAAGCACUAUUCAUAUUUUAGUCUGUUGUUACAGUUUUACUGUUCAGACAGUUAUAUGUCUGUGAAUAUAUAUAUAUAUUAUAUAUGUGUAUAUAUAUUAUAUAUAUAUAUAUAUUUUUUUUUUUUUUGAGACGGAGUCUCGCUCUGUCACCCAGGCUGGACUGCAGUGGCGCAUUCUUGGCUCACUGCAACCUCCGCCUCCUGGAUUCAAGCAAUUCUCCUGCCUCAGCCUCCCGAGUAGCUAGGAUUACAGGCAUGUGGCACCACGCCCGGCUAAUUUUGUAUUUUUAGUAGAGAUUUGGGUUUCUCCAUGUUGGUCAGGCUGGUCUCGAACUGCUGACCUCAGGUGAUCUGCCCGCCUCGGCCUCCCAAAGUGCUGAGAUGACAGACGUGAGCCACCGUGCCCGGCGGAAUUUUCAUAUUUUAAGUCCCCCACCACUGGACAUUUAGACUGUUUCCAUCUUUCUGUAUUUGCAGAUAUGCUUCUACAUACCCCUUUAUGCAUUUGCUUGAACAUUUCCCUGAGAAAAACUAGAAAUGGAAUUGCUAGAUUACUUUGUGUUCAUAUUUCCAAACUGUCCUCCAGAAAGAAUGUAAUGCUUUGAACUUCCACUUGAGAAUCAAAUGUUUACCUUCCUCUGUUCCUCCAGAUUUGGACAUUUACAGUGUUCAGCCGUUGUUGUGGCAUUCCUGUUCAAUUGGGAAACAGCUUGAUGUAGCGUCCCCAUGAGGUCCACAGUAAUUACAUUUUUUUUUUUUUUGGUGCAGUGGUGCAAUUUCGUGGCUCACUGCAACCUCCAUCUCCCAGGUUCAAGCGAUCCUCCCACCUCAGCCUCCCUAGUAGCUGGGAUUACAGGCGCACACCACCACACCAGGCUAAUUUUUGUAUUUUUAGUAGAGAUGGGGUUCACCAGGUUAGCCAGGCUGGUCUUGAACUCCUGACCUCAAGGGAUCCGCCUACCUCAGCUUUCCAAAGUGCUGGGAUUAUAGGUGAGAACCACUGCACCCAUCCUUUAAACUUUUAAAUCAUGAUAGUUACCAUGUAUAGAGUGUUUAUAUGUCAGGCAUUGAGCUAAGUCCUUUACAUCUCGCGCUUAUUCUGUGCAACAGCCUAAUGGGAGAAAUUCCAUGAAUAUAGUUACCAUUUCCUUGAUUUUUAGAGAAGCUGGAUAUGUUUUCUUUUUUCAAGUAUUAUUUCUAUUUAUCCUUUUGUGAAUUGUCUGUUUUUAUUUUCAUUGGAAUAUUCUUUUUUUUUGACAGAGUCUCACUCUGUUGCCCAGGCUGGAGUGCAAUGGCGCGAUCUCGGCUCAUUGCAAACCUCUGCCUCCCAGGUUCAAGCAAUUCUCCUGCCUCAGCCUUCCAAGUAGCUGGGAUUACAGGCAUCCACCACAACGCCCAGCUAAUUUUUUGUAUUUUUAGUAGAGAUGGGGUUUUGCCAUGUUGGCCAGGCUGGUCUCGAGCUCCUGACCUCAGGUGAUCCACCCCAUUUCGGCCUCCCAAAGUGCUGGGAUUACAGGCGUGAGCCCCCGUGCCCGGCCACACCAUUAUUUUGAAGAGAAAAUUUGAUAAAAAUAAUUGGUCAGUUGUAAAGAUGGUUAACUACCCAACUGGGUAAGAGAGAUUUCUAAGAGUUACAGAAUAGCAACUGCAGGAAGGAACUUGUGCCCUUAGGACUGAGGAAGUAGAAAGGAACGAAAAUUGGAAACAUGAAAGAGCCCUUCCCCUUUCAAUUCAAGUUGGAGACUGGACCUCAGAAGAGGGAGUGGGUGCCCCGCGAACUCACAGCUGGCGGACAGCGGAAAGGGCAGGAGCCGGACCAAGGUGAGGACAGAACUGAAGGCCGCUGGUUACCUCUCCUGCCCUCCGCUGGCCGCACUGGAGAAGACAGCCCCUCCCUCCUGCUCUGACCUGGCAGUGUUCAUCCAUCGUCCUCUAUUAGUGAAGAACAACAUCAAGCUGGCUAGCAAGGAACUGUAUACAGGGUCCAGCUGGGUAUCACAAUGGAUCUCACCCAAAGCUGAGAAGUGAUCCAGCUCGGUAUCACAAAGCAGAACGAAAAGGAUGUGUUUGGGCUGAGAGGCCAUACAUUGAUGGAGUCUUGCUCUGUCGCCCAGGCUGGAGUCCAUUGGCGCGAUCUUGGUUCACUGCAAGCUCCGCCUCCCGGGCUCCGGCAUGACCGGUGACUUCUUCCGAGUCUGGCUUCUGCAGCACACAGGGCUUCGCCAGCACCCAGCUCCUGCAGCAUGGGCAGCUCCUGUGACAGCAGGCGCCCACAGCCUGCAAAGCUUCUCCAGUGCCGACUCCUCAGUGAACCGCAACCAGCGGCACCUAGCAGCUUUCUCCACCAACCUCUUCAAGUAGUUCUGUAGCAGCGCGUUUCUCAUGAGACAGCUCCCUGUGAGCAGCUUUUUCUACCCUUGAGGAUGGAUUUCCAGCAAGUUCUGCCCAUGUGGUACCACAGCCACUUCUCUGCCAUUCAGUGAAACUGCAGAUGUGCCCUCUUCAAAGUCUGGAUCUAAGCCCAGGGACCAGGAAACCUCUUGCUUGAGUGCUGGAACUCAGGCCAGAAGGUGUGGCUGCUGCUAUCUGCUGUGACCAAAGAGAAUCAGAGUUCUCUUUACUUCUUACCAGCCAACCUCUUGAAAAUGCCUUUUUUUUUUUUUUUUUUUGAGACGGAGUCUCGCUCUGUUCCCCAGGCUGCAGUGCAGUGGCUCACUGCAACCUCCACCUCCUGGAUUCAAGUGAUUCUCCUGCCUCAGCCUCCUGAGUAGGUGGGAUUAUAGGCAUGUACCACCACGCCCAGCUAAUUUUGUAUUUUUAGUAGUGACGGGGUUUCUCCAUGUUGGUCAGGUUGGUCUCAAACUCUCGACCUCAGGUGAUCCACCUGCCUCAGCCUCCCAAAGUGCUGGGAUUACAGACAGCCACAGCGCCCGGUCUAAGCGCUUUAUAGCUUAAUUCUAUAUAUUAAAUUUUCCCAGUUCAAAUUA